GACGAACGCUGGCGGCGUGCUUAACACAUGCAAGUCGAACGAAGAGCGAUGGAAGCUUGCUUCUAUCAAUCUUAGUGGCGAACGGGUGAGUAACGCGUAAUCAACCUGCCCUUCAGAGGGGGACAACAGUUGGAAACGACUGCUAAUACCGCAUACGAUCUAAUCUCGGCAUCGAGGAUAGAUGAAAGGUGGCCUCUACAUGUAAGCUAUCACUGAAGGCGGGGAUUGCGUCUGAUUAGCUAGUUGGAGGGGUAACGGCCCACCAAGGCGAUGAUCAGUAGCCGGUCUGAGAGGAUGAACGGCCACAUUGGGACUGGGACACGGCCCAGACUCCUACGGGAGGCAGCAGUGGGGGAUCUUCCGCAAUGGACGAAAGUCUGACGGAGCAACGCCGCGUGAGUGAUGACGGCCUUCGGGUUGUAAAGCUCUGUUAAUCGGGACGAAAGGCCUUCUUGCGAAUAGUGAGAAGGAUUGACGGUACCGGAAUAGAAAGCCACGGCUAACUACGUG
rnacentral:rRNA from 1 species